CUUUCCAGAACAUCUAUGCUCUAACCAGUUCGUUUUGUUUCUGGUUUUGUCCCACCAGUAUUGAUGUCACUUGAAAAUCUGAUUGUCAACAUCAUGAAAACAGUGCUAGGAAAAGCCACAAAAUAUUGCACAAGACCCAGAAGGACUGAAAGUUGGAGGAUUUCUUUCAGGGGAUAUAUUGUUUUCACUGGUUUAUCAGACAGACCAUCACUUCCUGCAUCCCAGGGUUAUAAGGACAAGUUCAACUUGCAUCAUCCUUCUCCAUUUCCUCAGCUGGCAUUCAACUUCCAGUUGGAUGCAUCAUGA
rnacentral:lncRNA from 1 species